rnacentral:rRNA from 1 species
GAUGAACGCUGGCGGCGUGCCUAAUACAUGCAAGUCGAGCGAACGGACGAGAAGCUUGCUUUUCUGAUGUUAGCGGCGGACGGGUGAGUAACACGUGGAUAACCUACCUAUAAGACUGGGAUAACUUCGGGAAACCGGAGCUAAUACCGGAUAAUAUUUUGAACCGCAUGGUUCAAAAGUGAAAGACGGUCUUGUUGUCACUUAUAGAUGGAUCCGCGCUGCAUUAGCUAGUUGGUAAGGUAACGGCUUACCAAGGCAACGAUGCAUAGCCGACCUGAGAGGGUGACCGGCCACACUGGAACUGAGACACGGUCCAGACUCCUACGGGAGGCAGCAGUAGGGAAUCUUCCGCAAAGGGCGAAAGCCUGACGGAGCAACGCCGCGUGAGUGAUGAAGGUCUUCGGAUCGUAAAACUCUGUUAUUAGGGAAGAACAUAUGUGUAAGUAACUGUGCACAUCUUGACGGUACCUAAUCAGAAAGCCACGGCUAACUACGUG